rnacentral:ribozyme from 15 species
UGGAAAUAUACGGUCCCGAAUCGUCUGGGAAAAGUGCGCAGAAAAGGAACAGCUGGAAGAAAGAAUUGCCAAGAAUUGCAGAAAUUCUGUAGCUCACUCACUUUUUUUUGUUUUCUUGUUCUGUUUUCUUCU